UACAGAGGGUGCAAGCGUUAAUCGGAUUUACUGGGCGUAAAGGGCGCGUAGGCGGUUGUUUAAGUGAGAUGUGAAACCCCUGGGCUUAACCUAGGACGUGCAUCUGAAACUGAAUGACUAGAGUACUGUAGAGGGUAGUGGAAUUUCCGGUGUAGCGGUGAAAUGCGUAGAGAUCGGAAGGAACACCAGUGGCGAAGGCGGCUACCUGGACAGAUACUGACGCUGAGGCGCGAGAGCGUGGGGAGCAAACAGG
rnacentral:rRNA from 1 species